rnacentral:rRNA from 1 species
UACGUAGGGAGCAAGCGUUGUCCGGAAUCAUUGGGCGUAAAGCGCGCGUAGGUGGCUUCGUAAGUCCGUUGUGAAAGUCAAAGGCUCAACCUUUGAAAGCCGAUGGAUACUGCGGAGCUAGAGUACGGAAGAGGCGAGUGGAAUUCCUGGUGUAGCGGUGGAAUGCGCAGAUAUCAGGAGGAACACCGGUGGCGAAGGCGGUUCUCUGGGCAUGUCCUGACGCUGAGGAGCGAAAGUGUGGGGAGCGAACAGG